UACGUAGGGAGCAAGCGUUUGUCCGGAAUCAUUGGGCGUAAAGCGCGCGUAGGCGGCCCUGUAAGUCCGUUGUGAAAGUCAAAGGCUCAACCUUUGAAAGCCGAUGGAUACUGCAGGGCUAGAGUCCGGAAGAGGCGAAGUGGAAUUCCUGGUGUAGCGGUGGAAUGCGCCAGAUAUCAGGAGGAACACCGAUAGCGAAGGCAGCUCGCUGGGACGGUACUGACGCUAAGGCGCGAAAGCGUGGGGAGCGAACAGG
rnacentral:rRNA from 1 species